rnacentral:rRNA from 1 species
AUUGAACGCUGGCGGCAUGCCUUACACAUGCAAGUCGAACGGCAGCACGGGUGCUUGCACCUGGUGGCGAGUGGCGCACGGGUGAGUAAUACAUCGGAACAUGUCCUGUAGUGGGGGAUAGCCCGGCGAAAGCCGGAUUAAUACCGCAUACGAUCCACGGAUGAAAGCGGGGGACCUUCGGGCCUCGCGCUUUAGGGUUGGCCGAUGGCUGAUUAGCUAGUUGGUGGGGUAAAGGCCUACCAAGGCGACGAUCAGUAGCUGGUCUGAGAGGACGACCAGCCACACUGGGACUGAGACACGGCCCAGACUCCUACGGGAGGCAGCAGUGGGGAAUUUUGGACAAUGGGCGAAAGCCUGAUCCAGCAAUGCCGCGUGUGUGAAGAAGGCCUUCGGGUUGUAAAGCACUUUUGUCCGGAAAGAAAUCCUUGACUCUAAUACAGUCGGGGGAUGACGGUACCGGAAGAAUAAGCACCGGCUAACUACGUG